AGAGUUUGAUCAUGGCUCAGGAUGAACGCUAGCGGCAGGCCUAAUACCGGUCAAGUCGAGGGGCAGCAUAGUAGCAAUACUGAUGGCGACCGGCGCACGGGUGCGUAACACGUAUACAAUCUGCCUUUAACAGGGGGAUAGCUCGGAGAAAUUCGAAUUAAUACCCCAUAAUAAGAGACAUGGCAUCAUGUUUUUUUGAAAGCUCCGGCGGUUAGAGAUGAGUAUGCGCAUGAUUAGCUAGUUGGUAGUGUAAUGGACUACCAAGGCGACGAUCAUUAGGGGAUCUGAGAGGACUACCCCCCACACUGGUACUGAGACACGGACCAGACUCCUACGGGAGGCAGCAGUAAGGAAUAUUGGUCAAUGGAGGCAACUCUGAACCAGCCAUGCCGCGUGCAGGAUGAAGGCGCUAUGCGUCGUAAACUGCUUUUGUACGGGAGAAAAUCAUGGUACGUGUACCGUGUUGAUAGUACCGUAAGAAUAAGGAUCGGCUAACUUCGUGCUAGCCGCCGCGGUAAUAC
rnacentral:rRNA from 1 species